UGCAAGUCGAGCGAACAGAUAAGGAGCUUGCUCCUUUGACGUUAGCGGCGGACGGGUGAGUAACACGUGGGUAACCUACCUAUAAGACUGGGAUAACUUCGGGAAACCGGAGCUAAUACCGGAUAAUAUUUCGAACCGCAUGGUUCGAUAGUGAAAGAUGGUUUUGCUAUCACUUAUAGAUGGACCCGCGCCGUAUUAGCUAGUUGGUAAGGUAACGGCUUACCAAGGCGACGAUACGUAGCCGACCUGAGAGGGUGAUCGGCCACACUGGAACUGAGACACGGUCCAGACUCCUACGGGAGGCAGCAGUAGGGAAUCUUCCGCAAUGGGCGAAAGCCUGACGGAGCAACGCCGCGUGAGUGAUGAAGGUCUUCGGAUCGUAAAACUCUGUUAUUAGGGAAGAACAUACGUGUAAGUAACUGUGCACGUCUUGACGGUACCUAAUCAGAAAGCCACGGCUAACUACGUGCCAGCAGCCGCGGUAAUACGUAGGUGGCAAGCGUUAUCCGGAAUUAUUGGGCGUAAAGCGCGCGUAGGCGGUUUUUUAAGUCUGAUGUGAAAGCCCACGGCUCAACCGUGGAGGGUCAUUGGAAACUGGAAAACUUGAGUGCAGAAGAGGAAAGUGGAAUUCCAUGUGUAGCGGUGAAAUGCGCAGAGAUAUGGAGGAACACCAGUGGCGAAGGCGACUUUCUGGUCUGUAACUGACGCUGAUGUGCGAAAGCGUGGGGAUCAAACAGGAUUAGAUACCCUGGUAGUCCACGCCGUAAACGAUGAGUGCUAAGUGGUUAAGGGGGUUUC
rnacentral:rRNA from 1 species